rnacentral:rRNA from 1 species
AGAGUUUGAUCAUGGCUCAGGAUGAACGCUAGCGGCAGGCCUAACACAUGCAAGUCGAGGGGCAGCACAGGUAGCAAUACUGGGUGGCGACCGGCGGAUGGGUGCGUAACGCGUAUGCAACCUACCAUUGAUUGGGGCAUAGCCCGAAGAAAUUCGGAUUAAUACUCCAUAAUAUUCAUCAAAGGCAUCUUUUAUGAAUUAAAGCUUUUGCGAUCAAUGAUGGGCAUGCGUGACAUUAGUUAGUUGGUGAGGUAACGGCUCACCAAAACGAUGAUGUCUAGGGGUUCUGAGAGGAUUAUCCCCCACACUGGUACUGAGACACGGACCAGACUCCUACGGGAGGCAGCAGUGAGGAAUAUUGGUCAAUGGACGCAAGUCUGAACCAGCCAUGCCGCGUGCAGGAUGACGGCCCUAUGGGUUGUAAACUGCUUUUCCACGGGAAGAACCCUCCGACGUGUCGGAGACUGACGGUACCGUGGGAAUAAGCAUCGGCUAACUCCGUGCCAGCAGCCGCGGUAAUACGGAGGAUGCAAGCGUUAUCCGGAUUUAUUGGGUUUAAAGGGUGCGUAGGUGGGCUUAUAAGUCAGCGGUGAAAUCCCCCGGCUCAACCAGGGAAUUGCCGUUGAUACUGUUAGCCUUGAGUACAGUUGAAGUGGGCGGAAUGUAGCAUGUAGCGGUGAAAUGCAUAGAUAUGCUACAGAACACCAAUAGCGAAGGCAGCUCACUAAGUUGUAACUGACACUAAUGCACGAAAGCGUGGGGAUCAAACAGGAUUAGAUACCCUGGUAGUCCACGCUGUAAACGAUGAUCACUCGUUGUUGGCGAUAUACAGUCAGCGACUGAACGAAAGUAUUAAGUGAUCCACCUGGGGAGUACGAUCGCAAGGUUGAAACUCAAAGGAAUUGACGG